rnacentral:lncRNA from 10 species
CUGACUUGAAACAUGCUUUGAUGAAUUAGUGCAACUCGGCCAGCCAUUUACUUUAAAUUUUACCCUUGAUUCUUCCUCUAGCAAACAAUUAAGGAGCAGCAGUGGCUUCCUGCAGGGGAGACCAAUGCCUUCUGUCCUCAGCGGAAACAGCUUGGCAUUCUUCCAAUUGAUGAAUGGCAUGGACCAGGAGCACUAGUUAUCUUCAGCUUCUGAGCAUCCGAAUAAAUAAACAUACAAAUGCAUAACAUAAAAUAAAUUCAAAUUACAAAUGAGAAAACCAAUCUAGGUUACCGGCAAGUCCUAUGACUUGAUGUGGAGGCCUGGAAGUGCAUCCUUGAAUCUUGCAAUGCAGUGAGCCAAGGAGCAAUGAGAGGCCACAUGAAUAACCGGGCCAGUGACAAGACACAUGUCCUCCUCCUUGCUGGUAUACACCAGAAUGCCCCGCAUGCAGCGAAUGCUCAAAAAGUGUUGGUGGAAGUGACAGAAUUCCAUCACCAUUAAACACAACCAGUGUUGCGGUUGACAAUGGACCCAGGCUGAUAGGGCCGCUACCAUUUGGAAAGUGACAAGAGGAAGAGAGAGAAUGAAACAACAGUAAGCACUGGCUCUCAGCUUCUACCUGAAGAGACAAACAUUGCUUUCACUUACAUUUCACUGGCCAAAUCAAGCCCAUGGCAACAAUUGAGUUCAAAAGCAUAAGGAGGUAUCUGGAAGGAAGAGAAUCAGAAAAUUUCUGAUGAGCCUCACUGACUACCUUCAGGGCAAAAAGGAAGAGAGGCACUCCAGAUCAGAGAUCUGCAUUGGAAACUCCUUGAGAACCAGAAGGGUAUGCUGUAUUUUUGUAACUGUGAGGAGCCCAGAAAGACUGAAGCCCAAAUAAAAUUCCUUUAUUCAAUAUUAAUUAACGUAUUUGUUAAUUAUUAAUAAAUUUAACUUAAUGGCCAGACACGGUGGCUCACAUCUGUAAUCCCAGCACUUUGGGAGGCCAAGGUGGGCGGAUCAUGAGGUCAGGAGAUCGAGACCAUCCUGGUUAACACGGCGAAACCCCGUCUCUACUAAAAAUACAAAAAAUUAGCCGGGUGUGGUGGCGGGCGCCUGUAGUCCCAGCUACUUGGGAGGCUGAGGUAGGAGAAUGGCUUGAACCAGGGAGGCGGAGCUUGCAGAGAGCUGAGAUUGAGCCACUGCACUACAGCCUGGGUGACAGAGCAAGACUCCAUCUCAAAAACAUAAAAAUAAAAAAUAAAUAAAAUAAAUACAUUUAACUUAAUUAUUCUGAGCAUUCAGUUAUACAGUCUGUCAUCUCCGUCCCACCAAUACCUAGCACUAUGCUUGCCAAAUAAUUGUUGCAACCAAAUUACUGAAACUAAACCAUGGUUGAUUACAUCUGAGUCCCCAGAUUGAGGUCUUGCCUUUUUACGGUGAGGCCAAAAUUUUCACACAGGCCUUUUUUCCAUCCCAGUGCUUACCCAAGUCAGGGAAAAAGGCAUUUACUUUCUUGGCCAGUCAGGGUGGUGGAACAUUAUUAUUUAUUUAAAACCCAUUACCUACAAACCUUUUGCAUGGAACCAAUUAAGAAAUCUCUUAAAGAAAAAGAUAAUAUUAUGCUUGGUGUAACACAGUUUUUGAGGGCCUUUUUAAUGUGUUAGGAAGCCCCAUAGGUCUUGACAAUUUUUUUUAUGUCUCCCUUUUAAAAGCAAGGCUGCUGCCAGGGAAUUUGGACUCUGGUGGUAAGUGCUGGUUGUGGUUUUCCUCAGAAUAAAAUUAUGGGCAUGUUGAAGGUGGGGUGAGGCAGAGAGUGGGAAAACGCAGGGAAUGUGGGCACUUAUGUCGGUUAAGGUGUCAAAUUUUACAUGUCUGGGUUUUGUUUCCACCAGGCUCCACUCUCUGAAAUCACCAUUCUGUUAUAUAUGCUUACUGGAAGGGCUGGCUCUGUUUCAAAGAAAUCUCUCUGAAAUGGGGACAUCAGAAUGUAAAAGUUGAUGAGAUGUUGGAAGGGCCAGUUUUAGAUGGAGGCAGCAAAGGUGCUGUAAUUUGAAAGGGCAGUAUGAAAAACAACCCUUCCUGAGAAUCAACAGCCUGGAGUUAGAGCCCCAGAAAACAGUGGUGAGCAUUUGGUCGUCCACUGUGUCAUCUUGGGAUGUCUCUAGCCUUUGCUUUCUCAGUAGCAGGCUGGAUUCUAUAACCUUUAAGGCUGUAAACUGUCUUUUGCAUAUAACCUGUCCUGAGUCUAAGAUCCCUCUCUUGGAUAUCUUAGUGUCACCAUUCUUACACUGGAGAUUCAUUCCUGUGGAUUAUGUUCUCAAUUUUUGUUUUAUUUUUGGAGAUGGAGUCUCGCUGUUGUUGCCCAGGGUGGAGUGCAAUGGCAUGAUCUCAGCUCACUGCAACCUCCGCCUCCCAGGUUCCAGUAAUU